rnacentral:rRNA from 1 species
CGGACGAGUGGCGAACGGGUGAGUAAUAUAUCGGAACGUGCCCAGUAUGGGGGAUAGCCCGGCGAAAGCCGGAUUAAUACCGCAUACGACCUACGGGUGAAAGCGGGGGAUCGUAAGACCUCGCGCUAUUGGAGCGGCCGAUAUCAGAUUAGGUAGUUGGUGGGGUAAAAGCCUACCAAGCCGACGAUCUGUAGCUGGUCUGAGAGGACGACCAGCCACACUGGGACUGAGACACGGCCCAG